rnacentral:rRNA from 1 species
GACGAACGCUGGCGGCGUGCUUAACACAUGCAAGUCGAACGGAAAGGCCCUGCUUUUGUGGGGUGCUCGAGUGGCGAACGGGAGAGUAACACGUGAGUAACCUGCCCUUGACUUUGGGAUAACUUCAGGAAGCUGGGGCUAAUACCGGAUAGGAGCUCCUGCUGCAUGGUGGGGGUUGGAAAGUUUCGGCGGUUGGGGAUGGACUCGCGGCUUAUCAGCUUGUUGGUGGGGUAGUGGCUUACCAAGGCUUUGACGGGUAGCCGGCCUGAGAGGGUGACCGGCCACAUUGGGACUGAGAUACGGCCCAGACUCCUACGGGAGGCAGCAGUGGGGAAUAUUGCACAAUGGGCGGAAGCCUGAUGCAGCAACGCCGCGUGCGGGAUGACGGCCUUCGGGUUGUAAACCGCUUUCGCCUGUGACGAAGCGUGAGUGACGGUAAUGGGUAAAGAAGCACCGGCUAACUACGUG